GACGAACGCUGGCGGCGCGCCUAACACAUGCAAGUCGAACGAGCGAGAGAGAGCUUGCUUUCUCGAGCGAGUGGCGAACGGGUGAGUAACGCGUGAGGAACCUGCCUCAAAGAGGGGGACAACAGUUGGAAACGACUGCUAAUACCGCAUAAGCCCACGACCCGGCAUCGGGUAGAGGGAAAAGGAGCAAUCCGCUUUGAGAUGGCCUCGCGUCCGAUUAGCUAGUUGGUGAGGUAACGGCCCACCAAGUCGACGAUCGGUAGCCGGACUGAGAGGUUGAACGGCCACAUUGGGACUGAGACACGGCCCAGACUCCUACGGGAGGCAGCAGUGGGGAAUAUUGCACAAUGGGGGAAACCCUGAUGCAGCGACGCCGCGUGGAGGAAGAAGGUCUUCGGAUUGUAAACUCCUGUUGUUGAGGAAGAUAAUGACGGUACUCAACAAGGAAGUGACGGCUAACUACGUG
rnacentral:rRNA from 1 species